UAUUUUUCCCUUUUUUGGAAACUCUUAGAUCCAGCUUCACCUCAUGGCACUCGACAGAAGAUCAAAAGUCAGAUUUGGGGAAAAUGGCUGUCUGGGUUCUGUCUGCAAAAGCAUUUGUUUGCUGAAUCCCUGACCUACAUUCUCAUUCACCACGAAGCAGAACCCUUUGGGCUUUGGGUCAGAACCAAAAGCACAUAACUGGAAGCACCAUGUUGCCCUUGUUCUCCCAAUGUCUGUCUGUUUCUCUCUUUGACCUGAUGGAGACAAGGAUACUGAAUGAGCAGAGGGUAACCUAUUUACAAACUCUCAUUUCCUCAAACCAUCAAUGAGGCGGUUGGCAAUUGAUGCCACGGAAAGAAUUAUUAAUAUAUGUGUCAGGGAAAAUAAAUGGAUCGAUACUGUCUGUGUGAUAUAUGGUGCUGCACUUCAUCUUUACCAUAUAAACAGCUGUCUAAUUCUGCUCUGGAUAGAUGCACGGAGGUUUUCGAUGCGGUCAAGUUUCUGACAUUUGUUGAAAUGUUGAAAAUGUUUAUCAGAAAUCAUCUUGUUUCUGUGAUUAUGACUGGGAACGUAUCUGGGCCUUCUUUUAAAUGCUCUGCUGACAUUUUCAUUUUGUGUUAUGACGCAGAGAUAAUCAAUAGAGAUUUUUGUAUUUGCCAAAGUAAACGCGUCUAUUCUCCAAUG